rnacentral:rRNA from 1 species
AAAAAGCUCGUAGUCGGAUUUUGGCUGAGAACGGUCGGUCCGCCGUUAGGUGUGCACUGACUGGUCUCAGCUUCCUGGUGAGGAGGUGUGCUUCAUCGCCACUUAGUCACCGUGGUUACUUUGAAAAAAUUAGAGUGUUCAAAGCGGGCUUACGCUUGAAUAUAUUAGCAUGGAAUAACACCAUAGGACUCCUGUCCUAUUUCGUUGGUCUCGGGACGGGAGUAAUGAUUAAGAGGAACAGUUGGGGGCAUUCGUAUUUCAUUGUCAGAGGUGAAAUUCUUGGAUUAUGAAAGACGAACUUCUGCGAAAGCAUUUGCCAAGGAUGUUUUCAUUGAUCAAGAACGAAAGUUGGGGGCUCGAAGAUGAUUAGAUACCAUCCUAGUCUCAACCAUAAACGAUGCCGACUAGGGAUUGGCGGAUGUUAAUUGAUGACUUCGCCAGCACCUUAUGAGAAAUCAAAGUUUUUGGGUUCCGGGGGGAGUAUGGUCGCAAGGCUGAAACUUAAAGGAAUUGACGGAAGGGCGCCACCAGGCGUGGAGCCUGCGGCUUAAUUUGACUC